UACGGAGGAGGCAAGCGUUAUCCGGAAUUAUUGGGCGUAAAGCGUCCGUAGGUGGCGAUUCAAGUCAGUUGUUAAAGAGUGGAGCUUAACUCCAUGGAGGCAAUUGAAACUGAGUUGCUAGAGUGCGAUAGGGGCAAGGGGAAUUCCCAGUGUAGCGGUGAAAUGCGUAGAUAUUGGGAAGAACACCGGUGGCGAAAGCGCCUUGCUGGGUCUGCACUGACACUGAGGGACGAAAGCUAGGGGAGCGAAAGGGAUUAGAUACCCCUGUAGUCCUAGCCGCAAACGAUGGAUACUAGGCGUUGUCCGUAUCGACCCGGGCAGUGCCGUAGCUAACGCGUUAAGUAUCCCGCCUGGGGAGUACGCUCGCAAGAGUGAA
rnacentral:rRNA from 1 species